UACGAAGGGGGCUAGCGUUGUUCGGAAUUACUGGGCGUAAAGCGCACGUAGGCGGUUAUUUAAGUCAGGGGUGAAAUCCCAGAGCUCAACUCUGGAACUGCCUUUGAUACUGGGUAUCUCGAGUAUGGAAGAGGUGAGUGGAAUUCCGAGUGUAGAGGUGAAAUUCGUAGAUAUUCGGAGGAACACCAGUGGCGAAGGCGGCUCACUGGCCCGAUACUGACGCUGAGGCACGAAAGCGUGGGGAGCAAACAGG
rnacentral:rRNA from 1 species